rnacentral:rRNA from 1 species
GCCUCGAUUCGGUAAGUACACAGGUAGGUGGUUUAGUGUGUCUCUCUCUACCUCAAGUAGCCGCAACCCGAACCGUACGAGAAGUUAAGGUAGAACGGCGUCGAAUUCGUUUUCUACUUCCUUAGUUUCGAUUUCUUCUAACGGUAGUUAUCACUGUAACUCCUAAAGUCCUCCCUCCGGCUUAACGACGUUAGAGCUGAACUUCUACCGAUGAGGGCCGUACUUCCACGGGUGUUUCGGUUCGACGACCACUAGUUACCCUUAGAGUUUCAGAACACAGUUCUAUGCUUGCUGACGUAGGUGGCCAAGGACGCUUCCCCUAGAUACCUCUCGACGUGCCUGAAGCGUUUCUUCUAGUUUUCUAAGUUUCUUUUUCAGAUGUUUGAUUCGUUCGUGUGGUCUCUUGAGUACCUAAGCAAGUUUCUCGUCGUGGAACUUGCGGGAACAGUCAUACAAUGAAGGUCGCUCAAGCACCCGUCCGUACUUGCGGAACGACUCGACGUCCUCGAACAUGUACUAGAUGGGUCGACGUUCGUCCUCCUCGGGUUCCACUAGAGUUAGCAACCGAAACGACCGGAUCCGUUCUGGGAAGAACGGUUGCUUAAGAUAUUAUCGUUCCUUCGGGAGCGCUUUAAGGUAGUGGCCCGGACCCAAUGACUGCGACCGUCGGUACUCCUCCAACAGUUCUUGUAUGAGUACCUUUAACUGUUUCCUCCGUUGGUACGACUCCUACGGGACCUGGAGGUCGCGGAGACGGUGUCGGACGCCUUAAAGGAUUUUUGCCGGUGACUCAUGAAUUAACAUUAGCUACUGUACUUCUCCACCUUCUACACCUUGCUAUAUUUUAUAUGGAAGUUCUUACACUUUCCGUAUCAGGAACACUGCUGUUGGUAAGUCCUUCAUCGAUUGUGAACGUCGGUUCCGUGAUUACCAAUACACAUGUCCAACAGUGGGGAACUAUUCCUCCUCAGAAAUUUCGACAAGUGUUAUCUUACACCAGUAUUUCCCCUAGGGCCAGUACGUCUAAGAGUAAUACGUUUUCUUCAUAACUUCUUUACACUACCAGAUGGUGAACGAUAUCAGCUACACCGGUUAAUAAACGUCUCAGUCCCUCACAACUGUUCAUCAGCUACAUUACUACGAACGUCUCUAGAACCACGGAAAGACCAUGUUCACCUACUGACGUUCAACCUUGCUUACGUUAGCCACGAAUACUUAUAUAUGUGGCCAGACGGACCACGAGAGUCUAGGACGAACGAUAUAAAAACGUACAUGUUCUUUUUGUAUCGACGUCAGGGGUUCUCCUUAAGAGACUACACCGCUACCGUUCGGCUUCCUAAACAACUACAUUUUUGACCUACACUUAUAAACUUAUGGGAGUAGUUGGUGUUAUAGUAAGUCGGGUACCUUCAUCCGUGUUUACCUCGACGUUCCUCUACGGCAGGAGGACCUUACCACUGGCUCAUGUAAAGGGUCUAAAGGUUCAGGCUCUUAAAGCGACGAAGCCCCAGACUAGAUCAUCUUUGCGGUUUGUCAGCGUAGGCUGCCGAAAGAAACCUGGGACCGUCACGAUUUCUACUUUCUUAUUAAAGCCCGUACCUUAAUUCAUAUCACGACUGGUACCGUCAAAGUCCUCUUCCUACGUUUCUUUAAGAACUAAAGUUUUCCAUACUCGAUUAACGUCAAAACCUAGACUUUCUUACAUGUUUGGACCUGCUUUCAGUACAGUAUGUAUAUACGUUGGACCACGAGGACUUUAUGGAGUCGGAGCCCCUGUCAUAUCUACUCUAUGGGUUCCGUUAUCGCUUGGACCAUGACAAUCUCUGUGACGUCUACUCCUCCUGUUCUCUUUGUCAUAACCACGUAUCUGUUCAGAACCUCGAUGGGUUGAAUUUUGUAGAGGAACCUUUGAAGUUCGAAUUUUGUUUCGGUCUAUUUCUCGAUACACUAAAGAACCUCUUUUUCUCACAGGAUCUCUACUAAUGUCCAAAACACUGUCUUUGAUCGUUUCCUAAAGGCUUAGACUACACGGUAUACUACGUCAACUCCUUCCACUUUUAUCAAACGCUACGGUCACAGCUGGUUCUUUUACAGUCUCUGUUCUUCCCGUUCGUUUGUCUACUGUUACUGUUCCUAGAACGUUCCCGCUAGUUCCUUAAGUAAGUAUCUCCGAGUCUAUGGGAGCCGACAAGGGAUAGUUACCUGAAGCCCUUACUGCGGCCCGGACAAUCCUACCGUGGUGGGGACCUUAAGGAUUUUACAAGGCCGUCAGAACUGAGAGAGUUUAACGCGCCGCCGACCCCUUGUAAGGUAGACGGAGGACUUGGCAAAUGUUGUUAUUGACCAUAAUGCUUCGACACGGAAAGUGUGUGAACGUUCUCGCCCCUUCUAUAGGAACGGUGAAACUGACUAUACUAAUGUGACCUUAUAGACUUCGACCUUCUUCAUUUAGACCCCGGGGAUUCCUAUCUUAGUCCUUGAAAGGCUUCUGACUACUCCAAUACGGAGUACCCGCUCUGUUCGUCGUUCGUUCCGCUCCCAUAAUGUUAGGUUGUAUUUCGAGACAGGUCAGAACAGAGUGAAGUAGAGUAGAGAUUUCGAGGGUAGAAAUAUCAACUUUUCGGAGGGUUGCCCGGUCUCGGAGUCCAAUCUCUGGUCUAGUGACAUCAACUACGGGUGUAGAGAUUUCCAUUAUUUUCAUUUCCGUUCCUUCAGGUCAAAGGCUAACCCCGUCUCGGAGUGCAACCUCUGGUCUAGAGAGUUAGACUUCUAUUUGUUCAGUUCGAAGUGUACCCUACGGAGCCUACGGAGCUCCUUUAGCGUGAGCUGAGACCUCAGUGUGGUUGGUACGUGCUACGGACCUUUUCUCGACGUUUCCCCGUAGGAUUGUCCGGACCGCAAGACAACUAAGUGUUCCGGCGAGCAUAAGGAGGGUCAAGGUUACGUAUUAAUUCGUGCACGUUUUGCAACAUAAGUAGUAUGUCUAGCCCCGUCACAACUACCUACGAAGUCAAACCUAUACAGGGCAGUACACACGAAGGACAGAAAAGUACUAGUUCAAAUGGUGCAACAAGCGGAAUGGAAAGUGUUUGAUGAGAUCACGAACACGAAGAAUAACAUAGGAAAAACAAAAACACUCUCUCUCUACCUGCUUCUAUACGAACGUUAACGACAUAAAAAUAAUAUAACACUUUUUGAAGAAAGAUAACAACAUAGAAAAAUAAUAAAACACCUUGUAACUUACGUUAACAACAUAGAAAUAAUACAACACCUUCUUUUGAGCGAUAACGACAUGAACUAAUAUAA